CCCCAGAGGCCUUCAGCAUUGGGGACUGAAGGCUUUAGACUGAUACUUAAAGGGAGAGAAGGCAGAAGGUAUUUAUGUGGAGAGAAGAGGAAGACUUUCUCCUGCUACUUUAGCAUGGAGACAGUAGGCCAAAUUUAUCUUCUCAUUCCCCAUAACUCCUUUUCUUGAGAUAAUGGCUCUGGAUCCCAAACACCUUGCUCAACCAUGAAAGGAAACAAGGCCACCUCUACUAUGAGGCCUCCUAGAGAGCUAGGAUAGUCCUCAUCCAUCCAUCCAUCCAUCCACUUAUCCAUCUAUCCAUCCAUCCAUCCAUCCGUCCAUUCACCCAUCCACCCGUCCACCUAUUCAUGUGAACAUUCUUUAAUCCAAGGAGCAUUUAUUAAGCACUUACUCUAUGCCAUUCUGGGGUACACAAGAGAAUAUAAACUUUCUCUUGGUCUUUAGCUUGCAGUCUAGUUAGGGAGAAGAAAGCAUAAUUGCAUGUCAUAAAGCAAUAUUAAAGACUAAUAGAGCUAUACACAAAAGCGUAGCAGUAACUAAGCAAUCCAUCACUGUGACAUUAAAAGAAUAUUAGAAAAUAAUAUGCAGAUGAAGGAAUGGGGCCAGGUAAGGCAGUUGCCUAUUAUUAUCAUGUCUUUGUAUUGUGUGUGUGUGUCUUUUUUUCUUAGGUCAGUACUAGGCGUUUUCAAGAAUCCAUUUCCUUUAUAUCAUUAGGUUUGAGCGAAACUAUUGUAUUCCACUCUGAUUCCCACAUCAUCUCCCACGUCAUCAGUUGAAAGGUUGGAACCCCCUGCCUGGGAGCUCAGCUCUGGUCCUUAGGUAGAAUGAUACUGCCUCAAUGACAAAGCCCCUUUUCGGCAAAGUCAGCUAUUAAUAUGUGUUCUGUAUUUAGCGUUGACUUUGUAGUUGCACCCUAUAUUCUCUUCAAAAUGCUCAGCGGUACUUGGUUGGGUAUGCUAACCUUUUAAAGUUAGAAUAGCUUUCAAAGGAAUUCACUGCAGCCCUGACUUGAGUAUGGAGAAAGGAGACUUCUCCCGCAGCUUUAGAAGGACUGUGAGAUCUAAGGGAAUAAUCUAAGUUUUUAGGAAGUAAUCUAACUUUUUCUUAGAAAGAAGAAAGCAUCACCAAAUUCACAGAAAUGAUUGGAGCGCAUAUUUGGCAAAGUGCUAUUCUCUGCUCCCCAACAAUGUGGUCUUCUGUUAGU
rnacentral:lncRNA from 1 species